UACGUAGGGUGCGAGCGUUGUCCGGAAUUAUUGGGCGUAAAGAGCUCGUGGGCGGCUUGUCACGUCGAUUGUGAAAGCCCGAGGCUUAACCUCGGGUCUGCAGUCGAUACGGGCUAGCUAGAGUGUGGUAGGGGAGAUCGGAAUUCCUGGUGUAGCGGUGAAAUGCGCAGAUAUCAGGAGGAACACCGGUGGCGAAGGCGGAUCUCUGGGCCAUUACUGACGCUGAGGAGCGAAAGCGUGGGGAGCGAACAGG
rnacentral:rRNA from 1 species